rnacentral:lncRNA from 1 species
UUUUUCUCGAAGACUAAAUUACAUAAAAUUUUUUACUAAAUAUUUUUUUUUUAUUUUUUUCUUAAUUUUUAAAAAUUAUAUUUUAUUUUUUUAAUAUUUCAAAUUGUUAUAUUUACCCCCGUCCAUCAGAUUCCAUCACUAUUACGUUUAUUUCUUAUAAUUUAUACCGAAAACACCCUUUAAAAUAAUAUAAAUAUAUUAAAAAAUUAUUUUUUUAUAGAAGAAGUAAAAAAUAAUUUGGUCAUUUUGCACUCUCCAUUAAUGUCGUACCCCCUCACAUCAGCGUAUUCUCUGAAAAUAUUUUGAAAUUUUAAGGAGACAAAAUGUAGGUUUUUGAAAGUCGAAGAGGGCAAGUAAAAAAAAGGGUACUUACAGGGUGGUUUUCUGUAAUUUAGCCUUUUCUUUUCUGCUUCAUUUCCCUUUUU